GUGCUAUCGCUCUAGCCCACUUCGACAGCACAUAUAGUAAAAUUGGAAGGAUACAGAGAAGAUUAGAUGGCCCCUGCGCAGUCUCUAGUAUUCUUCUUCAAUAAAACAACUUU
rnacentral:snRNA from 1 species